AUUUGCAUGGUGGUGCAUUAUGUAUUCAUACGUGGAGUAAAUUAAAUCAAAUGAAAAAAGAAAAAGUCAAAGGAUAGUGGUGGGACCCACCACUACCCAAUUUAUGGGCUAGAGACCAUUUUCCCUUCAUUUCUUUCUCUCUCCCCGUCCAAUUCUUUUCCUCUCAGUUUCUCUUCUCAUUUUUCUUCCACUUGACAACCAAUCUUUGAAACAAGAUUGCUUUCUCAUUUCAUGCCGGAUUAAGGUGUCGUUUGAGGCAAAACAAAGCCCACGACGAACUCCACACAUCUAUACCAGCAAUUGCAGAUUUCGUGCACCCUUUGGAGUUUGAAUUUUGAGACCCACUUUGAGGGUUUUUGCAUUUUAAGAGGAAAUAGGAAAGAAGUGGCGGAUGAAAAUCCCCCGCAAGCUUGAAGAAGAUUAGGAGUUGUAUUUUGUUAUCUUUUGUAUCUUCGCCCAUUUUUUUUUGUAUAGUCUCAAAACUAAAAUGUCAUGUAUUCAUUUUUGCAAGACAAGGUCAUGUAUUAUAAAUCAUAACUCUUGUUGAUAUUUUGAAGGGCAACAAGACUAUGUAAAUGCUUAAGUUGAAUGGGAUGACGAUGAUGGGCUAACUUGGGGA